GCGGCGCGCAGAAUGUGGAUGGGGUAGCCAGGACUAGUGGGUAAAGGACUAGUGCAGAGGGUGUCCCCGUCUGGCCGAAUAACCGCCGUGGCCCGCAGGAACGCCACGUAGCACUAGUCCUGUGAGGCGUCGGCAGCCCCUGGCGACACUGCCCGCGCCAAACCAGGUGGAAAAUCGGGCUGCAAGGGCUUUAUUGUAAUUUGUGACUGAGUUCUUAAAAUUACCCACUUGAUUGCACAUUCUGGCGUUUUGAGAACUUAUACAAAGUGAAACAAUCUGGGCAUUCCCAAAGGCUAUUGUGGACAAAGAGGUAUAGAUGGGGUGUUAUAUUAAUUCCAAUUAGUACCGUUUCAUACUUGUUACUAUCCCAUGGUAUUGAGACCCGGUAGCACUCACCUUCUGCCACUGUUUCUCCACAACCUCAAAUCUAAUUAGAUGCGUUGCCUAAGUGUACUUUUAGUUUAGGGAGGAAUUAUUUUACAGCAAGGUGAAGCCAAAGGAAAAUCACUUGCUAAAUUACCAGAAAUUGGAUUCAACCCAGAUCUCCUAACUUCUAGACAAGUUCUUUUCUCAUUACAUCUAGCAUUCAAAGCCAACUCUUGCACUUUGGCCACCCAAAGUGCAAGGAUUAUAGGCAUGAGCCUCCAUG
rnacentral:lncRNA from 1 species